UACGGAGGGGCUAGCGUUGUUCGGAAUUACUGGGCGUAAAGCGCACGUAGGCGGCGAUUUAAGUCAGAGGUGAAAGCCCGGGGCUCAACCCCGGAAUAGCCUUUGAGACUGGAUUGCUAGAAUCUUGGAGAGGCGAGUGGAAUUCCGAGUGUAGAGGUGAAAUUCGUAGAUAUUCGGAAGAACACCAGUGGCGAAGGCGGCUCGCUGGACAAGUAUUGACGCUGAGGUGACGAAAGCGUGGGGAGCAAACAGG
rnacentral:rRNA from 1 species